rnacentral:lncRNA from 1 species
GCCAGACUGGGCCACACGUGCUUCUUCUUUGCAUCCUUUGAAAUAAGAAGUGACGGAUCUUCAUGACGAUAUACAUGUCGGUUCUAGAUGUUGCAUGCGGGUUACGAGACAAUGGAUGACACUGGCGUAUAGCCAGAGGGCCUAUCUUUUUUUUUAGGCUUCGGACAUGGUGUCCUAUCUUUUUUUUCUUCUAAGAAAAGCCAUCAUGGCGAGCUUUAUUAAUCAGGAAAUAGAGUUAUAUCGUUUAUAAUUAAAUCCAUAAUAAAAUUUGGAGGGUCGUUCUGCCGCUCAUCGGCAAAGAUCCCAUCCGGCAUCCGCAUAACUAGAUAAAACAAACAUGGUGUCCUAUCUUAAUGAACGGGGCAGAGCGUCUACCGUUCCCCGUAAGAAACAAAUAGCCAGAUCGUCGGCGGAAGCGCUGCGACAUUGUUUAUAAAUGGUCUCCCACCGCCGUCCGAUGAAGAUUGACUACUGGUAUAGUUCGAUGGAAUCUGCAGAUAAAUAAAUCAACAAGGCAUCAGACAGCGCCCAGUGAACUUGAGCAUGUACAUGCGCAUUUCGUCGUCUGGUUUGGCGUCUUGACAAGAGGUUGAUCAUGCACCGAUGCACUCGUUUCACGACUACAGCAUGUCAACGUGUUUGAUGUUUUUUAUAUCAAAAACAACGUUUUUGAUGUCGGCCAGCAGUUAAGCACUGGUCCGGUUACACACUCCAUAGUUCU